ensembl:lncRNA
AUCAGAUACAGAAAUAAGCAUGCUUCCUUUUGUGUUUCAGCUAUCAUGUUUUGUUAUGUCAGACCCUGGGAUCAUGCUACCUUUGACUGGGUCUUUCUGAAGGGAACGUAAGUGAUCAGCAAUUUAUGCUGAUUCGAGUGACACAGCAGUUGGUGGACAGCAGAAGCAUACCACAAUAAGCUGUCCUUACAGCACCAGAAAUUGUAAUCAUUGAAGCCUUGCACAAGUACAUCUCAGCAAAAAAGAUGUGUGUAGAGAAUGUAGGGGUGGCAGGAAAAAGACAGCUCACAGCUCUCUAAGUGCCAUGGACCAAGCCAGGAAAGAAGCACCUGGUGUUGGUAGACUGAUAUUCUCAUUCAAGAGAAGAUGAGAGCUGUUUCCACUGCUGGAAGAAGAUCAAGGGCAGGGAAGCCAGGCAAUAGGACAAAAGCUGAACGCGGUAACUUCUAGUGCCGCUGUCUGAGGACAAACCAGUGGCUGCAUGGAAAUUCUGUUCUCUGGUGAUACAGGGUACGGGUGGAAGAGAUCUGACCUAAUCAGGACACAGUAGUUUAAAUGGUGUCUGGGUUGGAAAUGAGAUGGUCAUGGAGAGUAGAGAAGGGGAAAAAAAUGAAGAGCUUGUAGAGCACCAGUACAAACACUUGC